UUUUCAUAUAUAUUGUUCUCAAACAACUAUGAAACUGUUAGCUUUUAAUAUUGUUCGCUGGAGUUAGCGAUCAGCGUUUGCCUGAUCUGUGGUUCUGUGUUUCGUAUGGCCAUUCAUAAUGUUUAGGCCAUUGUUAUUGCGUGAGUUGAGAUCAUUUUAUUUGGAUAAGAGAUAUUAGGAAAUUAAUAUUUUUGUUAUUGUUAUAUUUGCAGAGGAGGAGAAUGUCUCACAUGAAGUAGCAUAUUAUUUGCAACAAACUCUUCAGUAUUUCUUUGCAAAUAUUUUGGUUUCAAACAAUUAAUUCGUUGAUGUAAUUUUUUUUCCUUUUCAGUAGUGUUAUAUUUGGAUUGUGCAAUGUUUUGUAUCAAAUUCGACUACAAUCUUUGAGUUCUUACAGGAAUUUAUUAUCCAUGAUCUUGUAAUAUUAGGUGAAGCAUGUAUUUUUGUCGUUGAAAAUUCUUAUCUUAACAAUAUUUGCUUCUUUUCACCUUUAGAGCUUCACAAGAAGGAGACCUGUAUUUUUUAAUUUUUAAAAAAUUAAAAAUUAAUUUUAGUAUUUGAUAAUUUUUUUUGUAAAUCACUUUGGGAAAACUCAUCUUAUUCUAUAUUUGAUUUUGAAAAACACGAAUAGAGUAGUUUUUGAGAAUCUAAUUUUAAAAAUUAAUUUUAUAUUUGAUAAAAUUUUGUAUACAUUAUUACAUUCUUAUAUAUAUUACAAAAAUCUAAAAUUUUCUUUAUUAAUUAAGAAAUAAAAUGACAAUUAUUGAUUACUAAAAAAUGACAUCUCCUUUAGAGCUUCACAAGAAGGAGACCUGUGAGGCUGUUACCAUUAUUGAAGCCCCUCCAAUGGUGGUGGUUGGAGUUGUGGGAUAUGUGAAGACACCUCGUGGUCGUGGUCUUCGCUCUUUGAGCACUGAGCGAGCUUGUUUUUAAGUUAUAGAGGCAUAGAGCGAGUGAAUGGAUAAGAUCCGUCUGAUGGAUGCCACGAGGGAUAAUAUCUGCGGCGGGCGGUUAGUUGCGAGUCUUGAGACCUUAACGGUUUUGUACGUGACUUGUUCAUCUUCCGACUGUCACCGUCUGAUUUAAUAAUAAAGUUAAUUAGGGUCCGUUUGAAAUUAUUUUUAGAGAGAUUUAAAAAUAAUUUUAAAAAAUUUAAAUUUAAUUUUAACAUUUAAUUAUUUUUUAUAAAUUACUUUUGAAAAACUCGUCUUAAAUUAUUCUAAAUUAUUCUAUGAUAGAUUUUAAAAAACAUGAAUAGAGUAGUUUUUGAAAAUUUAAUUUUAAAAAUUAGUUUUAUAUCUGAUAAAAUUUUGUAUACAUCAUUACAUCCUCAUAUAUAUUACAAAAAUCUAAAAUUUUCUUUAUUAAUUAAGAAAUAAAAUGACUAACUUUAAAUAAAUUGUUAUUACCAUCAAUGAUAUUGAAAUAAUAAAAUUAAAUUAAAAUUAAUAAUAUAAAAUAUUUAUUUUAAUUACCUAUUAUUAUAUAUACACAAUAAAAAAAUAUUAUAUAUAUAUGUUUAUAAAUGUAUAAAUAAAUUUCAAUCAAUAUUAUUUCAAAUUCGUAGUUCAAUAGUAAGAUUCACUAAAUAUAUAUGAAUAUUUCUAAAACAAUUGUUUUAAAAUUCACAGUAUUUUUAAAAAUAAAUUUUAUCAAAGGUUUAAUUAAUUAUAUUUAUAAUUGAUUAUUUUUAUAGUACAGUUAACCACCGUAAUUAUUUUUAAAGCUACAUAAUUAUUAAAUUGGCCCUUAAUUAAAUAAAUACAUUAUAAUUCAUUUUAUUAGGAGCUAAAACUUAAUUUUAAGCUGUUAGUAUAAAAUAACUUCCAAUGAACCAAAAUAUGUGUUCCAAAUUAGGAGCUAAAACUUUCCAUUUUAAGCUAAACAAAAACCGGCCUAAAAGCCCGCCUUGGCCUUAGCCUAAACCCAAUUUGGGUUGCAAAACCCAGGCUUUGGUCUGGCCCAAGUGGUAUGGACCCAACAUUUUCGUGCAUUUCGUGAUUUUAUCCCUUAAAUAAUAUUUUUCAAAACUUCUACCAACAGCUUAUCAAUUGUGAUAUUCUAAACCCUGAUAUUCCCUAAUCUGAAUUUAAAACUUAAAGCUCUGUUUGUUGAAAUUCAGAAGAAUUCCACAAUAAAAAAUAACAGAAGCUGAAUUUAAAGCUUAUCAAUUGUAAUUUAUCUUUGAUUGAUAAAUUAAAGAUGAAGCUGUCAUACCUCGUUGUUUAAUUAAUUAGUGUUUAUGAAGUAGAAGUACCAAUUAAUUAAAAAUAUUUAAAUAUGAUCAUAUAACAUUUGUAGUCUUUUGUUGAUUCCAAAAAAAUUAUCCAGGGAUAACUGCAUGACGUGGCAAAGGCUGAAGACUAAAGCUGAGGCCGUGUUUAAUAUUAUGGUUAAGCAUCUGUAGUUUAAAAGAGUACACACUUUAGUGUUUACCUGUAAUAUUUUUACUAUUCCGUAAAAUUAUUAUUUGAAAAACUAUAUUUAUCACACACUAUGAACUCUUUUCUUCUUUUUUUUUUUUGUUUAUCACACACUAUGAACUCUUUUCUUCCACACACUAUGAACUCUUUUCUUCUUUUUUUUUUUUGUCGUAACUACAAUUUUUUUUUUCAUAGCAAUGAGUUUUGGGUGUUCAAAAUUUCAAACAACUACUAUAUUGAAUUUUAAUUUAACAAUAAAAAUGGUGAAGCCCACAAAUAUUAUUAGAGAAUUCAGAAGGGAGAACAAGAUAUUUUGAUUAAUAUUUUUGAUUAAAAAAAUAGUGGUCUAUGUUGACGAACCCUACAAAUUAAAUUUAAAUUUAAAUAAUGGUGAAUACUACGAUGUAUUAUCUAUAAAGGUUGUUGUUAAUUAGUUACCCCAUUGCAAUCAAUAUACCACAAAUUGAACAUGGCUUUGCUCAUCAUAUUCCUUGUGUCACUCCCAGUAAUCAUUUACUUUCUACAUCUCCAAAGGAAACGCAUAAACAAAGCCAAAACGACAAGCGGUUUAUUACCACCAGGACCUCGAGGUCUUCUCUUAAUCGGAAACCUACACCAGCUUGAAAGCACAAACCUUCAUUACCAACUCUGGAAUCUAUCCAAAAAAUAUGGCCCACUGAUGUCACUGCGCCUUGGCCUCGUGCAGACCGUAGUAGUUUCUUCAGUGAAAAUGGCUAAAGAAGCUCUGAAAACCCAUGAUGUUGAAUUUAGCGGCAGGCCGGCGUUGGUUGGCCAGCAAAAAUUAACCUACAAUGGGUUAGAUGUUGCCUUUGCCCCGUACAACGACUAUUGGAAAGAGAUGAGGAAAAUAUGUGUCACUCAUCUUUUUAAUGCCAGUAGAGUCCACCAUUUUCGUGCCGUGAGAGAAGAUGAGGUGGCACGUAUGAUCGAGAAAAUUUCAUCAUUAUCAUCAUCACCAGCAACGGCGGUGAUUAAUAUAAGUGAGUGUUUAAUGUCACUUACAAAUUCGGUCAUAUGUAUGGUUGCGUUUGGGAAGAAGUUUGAGAACAAAGCUGGCGAAAGAAGCAAGUUCCACUCGUUACUUGACGAGACUAGGGUUGUGUUGGGAGCCUUCUAUUUCAAAGAUUUUUUUCCUUUCUUGGGUGGUUUUUUUGAUAAGCUCUCGGGAAUCACUCGUCGUCUCGAAAACAACUUCAAAGAAUUUGAUGCAUUUUACCAACAACUCAUCGAGGAGCAUGCAGAUCCAAACAGACCAAAAGACCAAAUACGUGGGGAUAUAAUUGAUGUUUUACUUCAAGUUCAGAAAGAUCGUGCUGAGGAUGAAGUUCAUGGAUUCUCUCGGGAUAACAUCAAAGCUGUGCUCAUGGUAAACUUAUACCUAAUAUUACUGUCGUAAAUUUUUUUAACUGUUAAAUGGGACUUUUUAAGGUUUAAAUAUUAUUCUUGUGGGGAUGUAUAUUAAAAUCAAAACAAAUCAAAUCUGCCAGUGAACAGUGUAUUUAAUAAGAACAAAUAUGUUUAUAUUUGGGACCAAAAGAUCAUUAGCCGGCAUGCGCACUAUUAUUAUUUAUUGAAUGAAAGUUUUUCGUUGCGUUCAGAACGUAUUUGUCGGUGCCACGGACACGAGUGCAGCUACAAUGACAUGGGCAAUGACUAACGUAAUGAAGAAUCCAAGAGUAAUGGAGAAAGCACAGAAGGAAGUGAGGGAUUUGAUCGGAAAUAAAGGGUUUGUAGAUGAAGAUGAUUUGCAAAAACUGCCAUAUAUCAAAGCCAUACUAAAAGAGACAUUCAGGUUGAAUCCGCCGGGUCCAAUAAUACCCAGAGAAACAACCAAGAGUUGCAUGAUAGAUGGAUACGAGAUACCAGCUAAGACACUUGUUUAUUUGAAUGGAUGGGCAAUAUCUAGAGAUCCCGAAGUUUGGGAGAGACCAGAUGAAUUUGAUCCUGACAGAUUCAUCAUUGGCGAUAAGUCCUAUAUUGAAUUGACAGGACAAAAUAAUUAUGAGCUUAUACCAUUUGGUGGUGGCAGAAGAUUUUGUCCCGGGACUCAUAUGGGGAUUGCAACAUUGGAGCUUGCAAUUGCUAAUCUUCUUUACAAAUUUGAUUGGGAAAUGCCUGCUGGGAUGAAGAUUCAAGACUUGGAUUUUGACAUCGCCCCUGGUAUCGUUAUGCACAAGAAGAAUCCUCUCUGUCUUGUAGCUACCAAAUAUAUGUGAUUUACAAGUACUUGUGCUAUGCCUAAAUAAAAUAAUAAAAAUAAAAAAUCGAAUGCGUAUGAAUAAGAAAUUGUACUUGCUUAUAAAGAAUUUAUUUAUGCAAAUUCGUCUGUCCAGAAUAAUUGAUGUAUCCUCUGUCUAACAAGUUUUGCAUGUCCCUUUUUUUUUUUCUUUACCAAAAAAUUUUUAAAAUAUUUUUUGUAAACGUACCUAUCCAUCAUGUUGUGGACCAAGAUCUCCCUUUCAUUUUAAUAAGUACAUCAUUUCUCUCUCCGUAUUUUCAAAACCUAUCAAAGCUCUCUUGCUGUUAAAAUAAAAUAAAAUGUUAUCUUUGAAGUUUGUCUUUUUUUUUUUUCAAUGAUCAAUGAUGAAUUUUACAUCAAGGAUAAAAAAGUAGAAGACGCGACAAUAAAAAACGACAAUUUACAGCUUUUUUAACGUCAAUGAACUGGGAGUUUGAGUAUGUACAGGAGUUUCUAACAAUUUUCCCACGCGUAGUUAGUGUUUCUAUGAAGCUGUUAAUUAUCAAGUCAGUCAGAUAAAAACUACAUGUUUGAUUAUAUAAUCAAAUAUUUUGGGGUUUGAUUACCCUUUUUUUUUUUUUUCCUUGUGUGUAAGCAUUUGGGUCUUACUAUGAGGCUUAAGCAACACGAGGUUUCUCAUACAAAUAAGUUUCCUUAGUGGCUGCGAUUUGGUUUAAUUUGUAGAUUGCUUGAUGCGAGAUUAAAGAAACGAACAUACAAAGUUUCCUCAUUGCACUUCAGAUCUACCGUUGCGUUAGAUUUCAUCCGCAAAUAAUUAAAUGAUCAAUUAAUUUUUUUUUUUUUAAGGAUAAGAGAAGAACAAUAUUCUUAAACUAAACAUUUCGUAUAAGAAAUUUAAUGUGUGCGCCAUUUUAUAAUUAAGGAUGGUAUAAGAACGAUGAUCAUGUUAUAUUGGUGGAGAAUAAUAAUUAUCGAAAUGACUUUACUUAUCUACUUUAGCAGGAGAAAUUAAAUCAGGUAAAUAUUAAUUUAGUUUUUAUAUUUUAAUUUAAAUGCACGCUUAAUCUUUAUAUAUUUAAAAACACCUCAAGAGUCAAGAUACCUCUGCUGUUAAAUAUAUUAUAUUCCUACACAUAUUUUUCUUUUCUUUUGCAAUAAUACUUUUGCAACAAUAUUCUUGCCUUAUUGAGGAUAUUAAUGGAAAGAAAAAAAAAUGUUGACUUAUUAAAUUAGCCUCAAAAGUAACAUAAAAAUUUCCACAAAUUUUUAUGUUAUUAUUUGACUUGUAGGACUAAUUUGGUAAAUUAAUUUUUUAUAAAAUAACAAUAAAUGAAAUCUUUGCAAGGAUAUUAAGCAUGCUUUAACUUGCAUUAAUUUAUUUAUAAAUGAAUUAUUAGCAAGAUUAUUGCACCGGUACCCAAAAAAAACUAGUUCUUUCAUACUGAUUUUUUUUUUUUGUUAAUAUUCGAACAAAUAAUUAUUAUUAAUUUACUAAUUACAUUUUUAUAAGUAAAUUAAUUAAUGUCAAGAAUAUUAUUGUAAAAGUAAACAAAAAGUAAGGUAAGAAUGUAAAAUAUUUAACUAUAAAGGUGUUUUCAGGUAUUUUUAGAGUGAGGUUAUUUGAACCUAUUAAACUAUUUAUUAAACUCAUUUACGAAAUAAACUCACUAUUGAAAUUAAAAUUUUUAAUUUUUACUCUCUAAACUUACCUAAGUACCUAAUAAAGCCUUACUAAAUAAAAUUAUUAAUAAAUCAAAUUUAAUUAAACCCACUGUUUUGGUCUCUUCCUCUGUCCUUGUUCUUCUUUGUUUUGUAUUUUGUAUUCUUUAUUUAUCAGUCAUCAAUGGCUCAAAAGAGGGAGUAAUGAUAUUAGCCAUUGUCAAUUUGGUAUUUGCAACUAUAAUGGUCUUGAAAGUACUGUAAAUCUAUUGUAAUAUGAAGACUUGAUAAAUUAACAAUCAAGCAAGGCUUCAUAUUAACCAUACAAGGAAUUACAUAGCCUGAACAUAGAUGCUUAUUGCUCGCAUCACAACAAAAGCGAAAGAAGAAAUUCACAUCAAAUUAUGGAUCCUAAAUAAUCGAAUAAGAUUAAUCGUUUAACUUGGUUUUAAUCCUUUAUUGUUUUGGCAACCCCUAUGAAUUUAAGAGUAGUAUUUAUGAAUCUAUAAUUAUAACUUCAUUUUUUCCUAGUUAUUUUUUCUGUCCUUAAACAUAAUUGUGUUAAUGGAUAUUUUGGUAAUAAAAGCUUUUAUAAAAUAUUGACUUUAUAGAUUAUUUUGAUGGGUUUAAAUAGCCAUACUCGUAUUUUUGAAAUAUAAGUACUUAACAGACAUUUAAAUUAAAAUAUAAAAACUAAACAAAUAUUUAUCCAUUAAAUUAAAAAUUGUUCCAAAAUUUCACAUCUUGAGCGAAAAAUACCUCAUUAUUUUAUUCUCGUUAAAGUCAAUUCCACGAGAAUAUGGUUUUAGGAGAAACAUCAUAUGCACCACAUUAAUCAUACAAAAAAUUCAAUAACAUUUUGUCAUGUUUGUAUUAAAGAAAAAGAAAAUAUCAAAUUAAUGAACAGUUUUAUGUAUAUCAAAUAAAGUAUUGAUUGAUUGGAUUAUCACCAAAUCUAUAAAAGAUUUCCUAAGAAAGUCUAUGAAAGAAUUAAUACUAAAAAAAUUAAUUAGAUGCCGACAAAGGAGGAUCUGCAAGUCAUCUUAAUACUACACCUAAUACAAUUUUUUUCCAAUACUUAUGAUAAGAUAUUUGUGAGACCUUUAUUAGCUUUUAUCGAUCAACAUGUAUGAUAAGUAUUUCUGGUACCAUUAAUAAAUUCGCGAGGAAGAAAGAAAACAACAUUAAGGGUAAUUUUAGGAAUUUUCUCUUAGAAGAAUUAAACCGACUGUUAGAUUUGAAGGAGAUUCGAAAGUGAUUGAUUUAGAGAAACAUCAAAAGUAGCUUAUUAUUAUGCAACAAUUCUAUAGCAUCUUUGUCAGGAGUGCGUUUGUAUUGAAAAAUUGUCAAAGAAUUGGACAGUUAAUUAGAUUAAAUAAAGUACAGAUAUCAUAGUUUCAAUUAUUAAUUGUAUUACCACAUAUGUCUAAAGGGAAAUUUACAAAAUGAGCCAUAAAACUUUUACGUUUUUCAACUUUAACUGCCAAACACCCUAUGUUUGGACUACAUUACCCUCAUCACUUUCAUCAAAUUUACAAAGCCAUGCCACUUUUUCAAUUCCAGUACAAGUAAAUACGGAUCUUCCUCAACAACUUAACAAACCUUCAUCACUCUCAACAAACUUCAUCAUUCUCGAUAAAUCAAUUACAUAAUUGAAUAUAUAAUCAUCAAUGGGAGAGCUUCUUAAAAUUAGUUUAUGCUCUUACACAAUGUAAACCUUUAAUCUAUUGAUUUUAUCAACUAAGUUCGAAAUUAAAGUGGGUUUUGUUGCAAAUAUUGUUAUUUUUCAUUCAUAAAACAAUGUGAUUUGUUAAAGUACUUAGUUUGAGUUGAGAAAUGAAGAAAAAUCAUUGAAAACACAGAAAAAUCGGGCAAAAAAUGAAGUUCAGAACAAGUGAGACAUGCAAGUGGGACAUGUGCCUACACAAUGUAAACCUUUAAUCUAUUGAUUUUAUCAACUAAAUUCGAAAUUAAAGUGGGUUUUGUUGCAAAUAUUGUUAUUUUUCAUUCAUAAAACAAUGUGAUUUGUUAAAGUACUUAGUUUGAGUUGAGAAAUGAAGAAAAAUCAUUGAAAACACAGAAAAAUCGGGCAAAAAAUGAAGUUCAGAACAAGUGAAACAUGCAAGUGGGACAGGUGCAUGUCUCACAUAAACGCACUGCAUUUAUGUGCGACAGGCACCUGUCCCACUGCUUGUCGCACAUAAACCCACGGAUUUUAUGGAAUACAUGAUUUUGGAUUUGAUUUGUCUCGUCGUAAGCUUCGGAACGGUAUAUUAUACGCCUAAAACGGACAUAUAUAGCUCAAGUUAUGGCUUUCGAGACAUAUAUGAAAUUUAGUGAGACAUGCACAUGUCCCACUUGUCUGUCUCACUAAAUUUCAUAUAUAUUUCGAAAGCCAUAACUUGAGCUAUAUAUGUCCGUUUUAGGCGUAUAAUAUACCGUUCCGAAGCUUACGACGAGACAAAUCAAAUCCAAAAUCAUGUACUCCAUAAAAUCCGUGGGUUUAUGCAACUCAAACUAAGUACUUUAACAAAUCACAUUGUUUUAUGAAUGAAAAAUAACAAUAUUUGCAACAAAACCCACUUUAAUUUCGAAUUUAGUUGAUAAAAUCAAUAGAUUAAAGGUUUACAUUGUGUAAGAGCAUAAACUAAUUUUAAGAAGCUCUCCUAUUGAUGAUUAUAUAUUCAAUUAUGCAAUUGAUUUGUCGAGAAUGAUGAAGUUUGUUGAGAGUGAUGAAGGUUUGUUAAGUUGUUGAGAAAGAUCCGUAUUUACUUGUACUGGAAUUGAAAAAGUGGCAUGGCUUUGUAAAUUUGAUGAAAGUGAUGAGGGUAAUGUAGUCCAAACAUAGGGUGUUUGGCUAGUUAUGAUAGAAAAAACUUUGAAGGACUAAAGUUGAAAAACGCAAAAGUUUUAUGGCCAUUUUUAUAAAUUUCCCAUGUCUUAAAUAGGUGUUCAUUUCAUUUGUACAGUUGUUCUCGUUACUAACUACAUGGCAUGAUAAGACAUUUGUGGGGCUCAUUAAUUUUUUUGUAAAGUUUCUUGUAAUGCUAACGCUUGAUAAGAUUGGCAAAAAUUAUUAGUUUCUUCAUUUUAUUAAUUGAGUUGAUUUAAAAAUGAGUUCUAUGGUGAAUUACUACCGUUCAAAGUUAACUAUGAUUAUAAGGGUAGUGCUUUGAUCUCCCUCAAUUAAGUAUGAUUGUUUGUAAUUUAUUUAUAAGUAUUUCUCUCUUACGAAAUACGAGUGGAGUAGAGAUAUCUCUCGUCUGUGAGAGGUAUUUGUCGGGACAUGUACUCUAUAGAAUUUAAUAUAAUAAUGUAAGUCUCAGUUAUAUAUCUGAUUGUAAAUAUCAGUGUAAUGAUCUGCUGUUAUAGCAAUUGUAAAUAUCUAUAUAAUACAAUAAUCUGAUAUAUAAUCAAUAUUAAAAAAAAUGAGUUCAGAUAAUGAGAAAAUCAUGAUAUGUGAUAAGAUUCCUUUUAGACAAAAAAAAAAAAAAAAAUCAUGUGUAAUGAGAUACAUAUGGGACCAUCACUAAAUUUUUGGGGAAAAAAAUAAAAACAUUAACCAAAAUGUUAGGCAUCCACUUUUAGAAGAUUUUUUAUAUUAAGUUAACAUCUAUUUUUAGAAGAUCUUUUAAUAUUAAGUGUUAUAUUCAAAAGAGAUUUUUGGAGAAAAAAAUAAAAACAACAUUAACCAAAACGUUAGGCAUCCACUUUUAGAAGAUUUUUUAUAUUAAGUUAACAUCUAUUUUUAGAAGAUCUUUUAAUAUUAAGUGUUAUAUCCAAAAGAGAUUCGACAAAGACUGAUAUAAAGAUAAAUAUCUAAAAUAUCGCAUUAAUCAUACAAUAAGUUAAUCACAUUUUUUCAAGAGUGCGGUUGUUUUGAAAAAUAACCAAAUAAAUUAAUAGUUAAUUAUAUUAAACAAAAUAUAAACAUCACAUUUUCACUUAUUAAAUAUAUUACCUUUUAUGUACAAAAGAUUUUCAAAAAAGGCCAGCAGAGGCGGACCUAUAUUCAUUGGUUUGAAGGCAACUGCACAUAAAAAGUCAAUUUCCAUUAGUUUCCUAUUAAUUUUUGAAAAUAUUAUCUUUGAAUGGGGGCAAAUUUAUAAAUAAAUUUCCCAUUAGGGUGUCAAUUUUAUAAAUUAUUAUUAUUAUUAUUAUGAUAUUGCUCCCUAUGAAUCGGCUUCCUAAAUCUGCUUUUGCCAAAGAGACGAAGGAAUUAAUCUAAAAAUUUUUCCAUGGUAUAGAUAUUUGAAGGUCUAAAUAAAUGUUCAUUAAUUGUACAAUUUAUUUCACCUGAUACAAUUUUUUCAAUGCUAAUUCAUAUGAUAAGCCAUUUAUGGGACUUGCAUAAACAUUUUUUCUAUUUCUAACAUUUGUGAUAAAGAUAUCUUGGAAAAAGAAAACAUGUAUGAUAGCAAUAUGACAUGAGAUUUUUUAAAAAUUAGUACAAUUUAUAUUAGCACUUGAUCCUUGAAUGUUUAAUAAUAAUAAUAAUAAUUUUCCCUCGAGAAGUCUAACAACUGUAAAAGUAAAAAUAGAGAUGUUUUGGGUAAUUUUUUAAAACACAAAAACUAAUUAUUACUAUUACAGACUAGCAAAGACUACACUCUUAUUAUGGUAAGACAUUUGUAGGACCAAUUAAAUAUUUUGCUCCUCAAUGCUAACUAGUAUGAUAAGACAUUGUAAGACCUAUUAAUUUUAUUAAUGCCAGUACACUUUCUUAUGACGCUAAAAUGUGUGACAAGAUAGUAAGAUGGCAAAUGCUAAGUUACAAUAAUUGUAACAUACAUCUCUCAUGUGAACCACACAAAUUGUGGGUCCUACAAUUUUGUGUGGUUCACAUGAAGAAUGUAUGUUACAAUUAUUGUAACUUAGAGGCUCCCAGUAAGAUACCUUUUCAGAAAAAAGAAAGAAAAAGAAAAAAGUCAGAGGAUGUUUAAUAAGAUAAACAUGGGACAAUUACAAAUUUUGAAAAAAAAAAAAUGAAAACAACAUUAAUCGAAAUUUUAGGCAUAUAUUUCUAAAAGAUCUUUAAACAAAUGUUACAUUUAGAAGAUCAGAUUCAAAAGAGAUUGAUUUAAAGAGAAAUAUGGGUGUAAUUGUGUUAGUCAUAAAACAAUUUAAUAACAUUUUCUUUAGUCAUAUGACAACAACUAAUGAUAUUUUUUCAAUAGUGCUUUCUUUUUGAAAAAUUAUCAAGUAAAUGGAGAGUUAAUUAUAUUAAACAAAAUAUACAUGUCAUAUUUUCACUUAUUAAAUGUAUUGCUUUUUAUUAUAACAGAAAUUGGAAAAAGGCAACGAAACUAAGGAAUUAAUUUAAAAUUUUCUGUGGUAGAAUUUGAAGGUCUAAGUAAGUGUUCAUUAAAUUGUACAUUGUAUUUCGUUAAUAUAAUUUUUUUUUCAAUGAUAACUAUUAUGAUAAGACAUUUUAUAGACCCGUAUUAAACGUUUUUUUUUCGAUGCUAACAUGUGUGAUAAGAUACGUUUAAAGAAAAAAAAAUUGUGUGUGACAAGACAUACAUGAGAUCAUUACUAAAUCCGGGGGAAAAAAAACAAACUUAGGCAUCCAUUUCUAGAAGAUUUAAAUCAAGUGUUACAUUCACGGGCGAUUCGAAGGAGAUUGAUUUAAAAGAGAAAUAUUGGAAGUAUUGCGUUAGUCAUAUACACAUUUAAUCAUAUUUUUUUAAGAGUGUGCUUGUUUUGAAAAAUUGUCAUAAAUACACAUUUGUUUUGAAAAAUUAUCGUAAAUGCACAAAUGGCACAAGAUAUUUAAAGAUUAGCACGGUAUAAAUUAACACGGAAUUCAAAUUUAUUUUCAAUUUCAGUAAUCUUUCUUUUUCAAUGACUAGAACUGAAUGCUUAAAUGAUUUGUGUACUUACUCUUUUUACAAGGUUGUGAUUAGUGGUUGUUAGAUAAUAAUAUAUAUGAGAUUAAAUUUUAUUCAUGUAUUACUAUAAAUAUACACAUGACAUAAGAUCUUUAAAAAAUCAGCAUAAUACAGAUUCAAAUUUAUUUUCAAUUAUUGCAUGUUUAACUUGUUGGAAGUUUAAGUUAUACAAGACAAAAAAAAAGUAUUUUUUUUCCUUGAAAAGUCUAACAAAUUUAGAAGUAAAGAUAGUGUUGUUUUGGGUGAUUUAAAAAAAAUAUAAAAAUGAAUUGUAUAAUUAACCACGACUCUACAGGCUAACGAAGGAUAUACCCCUAUUAUUAUUACACCUUAUACAAUUUUUUUCAAUUAUAAUACGAAUGAUAUACCCCUAUUAUAUAUAUUUUAGUGGCUUAAAAUACAUCAACUAAUUAAUAUAGGAAGGAAGGUUUCUUCAUCUUCCCUCACCAAUGCCACUAGGAUCUAAUUUUAAUGCCAUAAUCUCAUAUUUAAUUAUGCAACAUUUUGUUUAAUGUCUUUUGACUUCUUCAAACUCUAUAAACAUUAAGUAUUUAAGAUUUGUUAUGUUUGGGUUUUUUUUUAAGUAUUUAACCAGCAUCCUCUUUAGAAAUAUUAUUGUGUUUUUAUUUUUUGACUUAUUUGAAUUUUUAGUAUUGUAUGCCUCAUGGAAUACUCUUUUCUUCAUGAGUUGAACAAUGAUAAAGAUAGUUGAAUGAUAAAUGUUAGGUUUUGUAGGAUGUGGGAGUUUGUUAAUACCAAGAAGAAUGGAGAAUUGAUUAGUGCGAACAAAAUUUUUAUUGAUGAAAAUGUUUUAUAAAAAAUUCUUCUCCCAUUGUUUCUCUAAUUUUUUUCUCAAUUGUUUUACACUUAAUGUAGCUUUUUUUUUUCAAUAGGAAAAUCUAAUGCAUGCAACAGUCAGAAAAAAUUUAGUGACAAAGUUUAGGCACAUGUUGAGUGAAGGUUCUUUGUACAGUGUCAAGAAUUUGAAAAUUGUUUCAACUAUAGACGAGUACGAACCACUUUCAAAUCAGUAUAAGAUUAUUUUCUUGAUUAUAACUUCACUUAAGAGGUUAGAAGAAGGAACUGUUAAGAUUCCGAUCAAUGGAUUCUAAUUCAUAUCUUCAAAUUUGAUUGAUAUACGCCUCUCAUGUAUUUUUUUUAAUUAUUAAUAUUUGUUAAUCUUUAAGUGUAUAUUAGAGACUAUUGAUCCUUAUAUUUUAACAUGUUUAUGUUAUUUUUCUGUAAUAUUACAGAUGAUGUCGGAAGUUUAUGUGGUGUGGGUGAUAUUGAGAUCGUUGGAGCUGGUUGGAAAAAAAGAGAUAUAAAAGUUCUAAUAGAUUAGUAAGUUGAAUAUAAUUUAGAACUUAUCAACAAGACAACAACUACAAAAGGUAUAAGGUCUGUACACUUACACUAUACACAUUAAUAUAUAUUUUUAAAGUUAACAAAAAAAUAAUUAAAUUUCAUAAAUAACAUUAGUUUUAUAAGGUUGUCUUAUCUUAAAAAAAAAAACCAAUUUAUAUUUUUUUAUCAAUUUCAUCAAGUGUAAAAUAAGAAAAAAGGAUAAUACUAAAUUUUUUUUUUCAAAGCCGCGCGAAGCACGGUUCUAUUUCCUAGUUUAGAAGUAAAGUUAGUGAAGUUUUGGGUGAUUUAAAAAAAAUAUAUAAAUAAAUUGUAUAAUGAACCACGACUCUACAAGCUAACGAAGGAUAUACCCCUAUUAUUAUUACACUCGAUGCAAUUUUUUUCAAUUCUAAUACGAAUGAUAAGAUAUAUUUAUGAAACCAAUAUUACUUAACAGUAUGGAAUUAAUACAACCAAAAUGUCUACGGUGAAAUGGGGCCAAAAAUAUAAAAUUUAAUAAAAAAAUAUUAUAUUAUAUUAUUAAAUAUUUUAGGACAUAAAAAGGUGAAUGUUUAAAACUUUCUCUUUUUUUUUUUGGUUGAAAAUUUUCUCAAUCUACAAAUAUCUUACAAUAUGAUAUUUUAUUGGGACACUGAAUAUAUUCAUUAUCCAAAUGUUGACGGAAAUAAACUCCUAAUAAGAAUGGAACUCAUGCACUUAAACGUUGAUUGUCGAGGGCGUGAACUAAAGGCCAAUGACAAGAAUGUUUGAAACUUGAAAUAGGAUUUGAGUGCCUUUAACAAUUGAAACCUUUCAAUCGGGGGUAAAGGGAGAAAAAAAGACAAUUGAAAUGGCAGGCAAUAAAAAUACAAUGACGAAAAUGAUAAUUCUUUAGUGUUUCUACAACAGAAUUUAGAAAGUUUUAGGUGGGAUGUUUUUGUAAUACAAUAAGAAUAUUGGUGUAGUUUUCUGAUAUUUCAACCUAAGAAAUUUCAUCUGCACGUGGCUAUUGCCAAGCCACGUGAUAAGUGGCUCUCCGUUUCUGGCUUACUGCCUAUAUAUAUAAUAAUGUUCCCAUCCUCCAUGCAAGGGAAGUAAGGGUUACAAUUGAAAUUGCUUCCUUACGCUCUUUUCUUUUCAAUCAUUAGUAGUACCAUAAGCUCCUAGAAAAAAAAAAAAAAAAAUGUCUGAGGGCGGGGAUUUUAAUCGCCGGACAGCAAAUUACCACCCUAACAUUUGGGGGGAUCGUUUCAUCAACUACAAUGCAGAAGAUGAGGUACGUACAAUGAGUAAUUGGGAUUUUUAUUUUUUUUGUUUUUCAACAAUUUAAAAAAGAAAAAAAGAAAAAUCAAUCAACAUCGUAUGUUAAUGUCUGCAUUGUAAUUAAAAAAUAUAUACUUCAAUGCACUAAAAUAUGAACAUUGUAUUAAAAUUUAUAUUCCUAGCCUUAUGCAGACGUCCCUAAAGGGCAAUUAUUUAUAUAUAUUAUAAGCAUGUGACUAUAUGUAGUGAAUGCGGAAAUGCAGAUUUAUCAUGGGGCUCAAUCGCAAGAAAUUGAAGAACUCAAGGAAGAAGUGAGAAGGGAACUACUGGGCAGUGGUGUUGAUUCUUUAUCACGGCUGAAACUUAUUGAUGCAAUCCUGCGUCUAGGCGUGGGAUAUCAGUUUGAAAGAGAGUUAGAAGAAGCAUUACAGAAUCUCUAUGAUGCAUUUUCCAAUCAUUUUUAUAAUAUUGAAGAUAAUGAUCUUUACCACGUUGCACUUCGUUUUCGAAUUUUAAGACAACGUGGAUACAAAGUUUCAUGUGGUAAGCUUGUUCAAAUCAUGCAGCUUCUUAGACUUUUAAGAUUAUGUUUGAUAUAAUUUUUCAAAUAAAAUUUAUUUAAAUAGAAUUUUUACAAGUAAAGUUUUUGUUUAAAAAUUUUUAAUUGUUUAGUUAGCAAUGAAAAUUAUAAAAUAAUUUUUACAAGUAAAGUUUAUACUUAAAAAAUUUUAAUUAUUUAGUUGGCAAUGAAAAUUUUUAUUAAAAAUUAUAAAAUUAUUUUACCAAACAAUUUUUUAAAAGUUGUGUUAUGAAAAAAAUAAAAUAAGAUUGUCAAAUAAAUAAAAAUAUUUUAACAUUUAAAACAAACUUUUCAACAUCUACUUCCAAAAUAAUUUGACCUUUUCUUAAUGGAGACAAAAUAAUUUAUUUAACCUUUAAAAGUUCUGCUAAAAAAAACCAAACAAUAAUAAUAAUUUUUUUAUAAGAACUAAUAAAAUUAAAUAAGCACUUAUAAUCAUUAGAGAAACUAUACCAAAUAAGUUAUACACACACAACAUGUUACGCACGGCAGAUGCAUGUGCACACAUGAUGAAUUUGUAUAAUUUGUAGAACACGCGAAGUUGUGGUAUCAUAUCAGGUAAUAAUCAACUAAUAAUCAUUUCCAUUUAUUUUAUAUAUGAAUCAGAUAUAUUCAACAAGUUUAAAGAUGGCAAAGGCAAUUUCAAGGAGUCCUUGAAAAUCGAUGUGUCAGGGAUGUUGAGCUUGUACGAAGCAGCCCAUCUGGGCGUGCACGGAGAAGAUAUUCUGGACGAGGCUAUUGCUUUCACGACUGCUCACCUUCAAUCGUCCAUGGCUCCACAAGUGAUUCAUGCUCUACGGCAGCCCCUGUACAAAGGCCUGCCGAGGAUUGAGGCCAGGUUUUUUAUCUCUCUCUACCAAGAGCAUGAACCUUUGCAUAACAAAGCUUUACUGAAGCUUGCGAAGUUGGAUUUCAACCAAGUCCAGUCAUUGUACAAGAUUGAACUUAGCGAAAUCUCAAGGUCACCUCCCGAUCAUAGCCUUCAUGUUAUUAAUUAAUAAGAAUCUAUAUACACACACGCAUGCCUACACACACAUUGAGAAUACACAAGACAAGACGUAUAUGAUUAAUAUAUAUGCUAAUUAUUUAAAUAUAUAACUGCAUGCAUGCAGGUGGUGGAAGGAUUUAGACUUCGCUAGAAAGCUACCUUUCGCAAGAGACAGAGUGGUCGAGUGCUACUUUUGGAUAGUGGGGGUUUAUUUUGAGCCUCAAUAUUCACUUGCUAGAAAAUUGCUAACCAAAGUAAUCUCCAUGACAUCCAUCAUAGAUGAUAUCUAUGAUGUCUAUGGCAUACCUGAAGAGCUCGAUCUCUUUACAGCAGCAAUUGAUAGGUUUAAUUUGUUACUAUCUGGUGUUAAUCCUAUAUCAGCUGACAAUUAAUAGUCUACUUCUUGGACAAAGUAUAAGAGGAAAUUUAGAAUAUAUCAGAUGUAACACAACCAAUCAAUGCAUGUAUGACAUGUGUAAUUGAACAUAAUAUAAUCACCACUUACAUGAUGAUUUUUCAAAAUAAAUAUUCACAUGUCACAUCAUCAUUUUUUUUAUUGUAUGGCUAACGUGAUACAUCAGAUAUAUUAUAGAAUUUCUUAAAGUAUAGAAUAAUUAAUUUUAUAAAAAAGUACUCUUUUAAUCCUUAUAAUAUGAGAUAAUUGUUUAGUUAGUCCAUAUAUUUUAACAAUUUAUCCGAGAUAUCAUUGUAGUACAUCUAUUUCAAUUAAAGUUUAUUACUCUACUUAAGUAAUAAUAAUAAUUAUAAUUAUUAGAUGCAUGUCAUACUUGUUUGAAGUUUAAGUAAUAUCCAACAACUAUGGAAGAAUGACAAAGAUAUUUUAUGUAUAAUUCAUGAGUAUAAGCUGGUCUUAAUGGACUUUUUUGUAUAUUAAGGCUCAAAUUACCGAAAACAUUAAUAGAUUACAUUUAAUUGAGUUUAACAUUAUAUGACAAUUUGCAACACAUAAUUGUUUACAUAUAAACCCAACGCUGGAUUAAAGAUCCAACAUUUUUUGGUAAAUCAAAUACAUCAGUUAUGUCAUCAGUAGUAUGUGUCAAAUCAAGAAUGAGUUCCUGAUUUAGGAAAAUAACCGGGUGGCUUUUGAGUUUCAGGUGGGAUGUGAGUUGCAUCGACCAGUUGCCAGAAUACAUGCAAACAUUUUAUGUGGCAUUGUUAGAUCUUUACAAAGAAAUUGAGGAAGAGUUGGCAACGAAAGGAUGGUCAUACCGAGUCCACUAUGCAAAAGAAGAAGUAAAUCAAUAUUACUUAUAAAAGUUAAUCAAGGAUAUAAGAUUUUCCGUCAGAAUUUUGAUCACGACAGUAUUAAUUGAUCAUUUGUGACAUUGAAUCCAUGGCAGAUGAAAAUUCUAGUUCAUGGCUACCAUGAUGAAUCUAAAUGGUUCCACAACAAUUACGUUCCUACAAUGGAGGAGUACAUGCGAGUGUCCCUAGUAACCUCUGGUUACUCGAUGCUUACAGCAGCAUCUUUUCUUGGUAUGGACGGUGUAGUGACAAAGGAGGCCUUUGAUUGGGUGUCUGGUAAACCUAAGAUUAUUAGAGCCUCAACUAUAAUUGGAAGACUCAUGGAUGACAUCAAAUCACAUAAGGUACGUAUACGUUACGUACAUACAUGUGCUUAUAAAUUAUAUAUCACUUUAGAAUUUGGAUACACGUUAAUCAACACACGUGAUGUGGUUACUUGCAUGUACAGUUCGAGCAAGAAAGAGGACACGCGGCGUCGGCUAUCGAGUGCUACAUGAAGGAGAAGGAGCGCGAAGGCGUGAGUGUGACAGAGCAAGAGGUGCAUGAAGAGUUAUAUAAGAAAGUUGGCGAUGCAUGGAAGGAUAUAAAUGAAGAGUGUCUCAUGCCCACCGAGGUGCCAAGGCCUCUCCUCAUGCGAGUUCUAAACCUAUCAAGAGUAAUUGAUGUCAUCUACAAGGAGGGUGAUGGCUACACCCAUGUUGGCCAAGUGAUGAAAGAUAAUAUUGCAUCCGUGCUCAUACAUCCAGUUGCUAUUUAAGAAUAAUCUCGGGCCUGCCAGAACCCGAAUCGCACUUCAUACCCAAAUAAAAGUGUGUAAAAAAUAAGAGGCCCAGUCAAGAAUAAAACUUUAUCAUCUGUUUUUCUUUGAAGAUUGCUACUGCUAUCAUGAAUAAUCGACUAUUGAAUUUGCAGAAUUUUUGUUUUAUUAUCUAGUUUUUAUAAGCUAUCCCUUAAAAAAAUAUAUAUUGUUGCAAGCAAACCCAAAAUAUUGUUGAAUUAAAGCCAAAAUUACUAAAAUUAAACUUAAAAUUUCAGUAGCCAACAAUUAACAAAGUAGAAGGUAAAAUUUUCCAUUUUACUAUAAACACAACAUCGGCCUAACACCCUGCCUUAGCCUCGGCCCAAAGACACAAUCUGGGGCCAGCGGUGCAAGUUGGGUUUAGGCCGAGGAUGUCGUCCAGGCCCAAGUCGCAUCAACCCAACACUUCGGUACAUUUUUAUGAUUUUAUCCCUUAAAUACGGUUUUUAAAACCUGUGACUCUACAGAUUAUCAAUUGGACAAUGUUGCCCCACAAGUUUUCCUAUUCUGAAUCUAAGCUUGUUAUAGUUUCGUGUGGAAUUCAGCAAACCUCCGGAAUCGAAAUCACCUGCACUCAUCAAGUAUCAUGCGAAGCGAACAAUUUUCAUUUUCAAUCCAAACAAUAUCUUAGAUAAAUUGUAAAAUAUAAUCAUAAUUGGGGAAAAAAAAAAAAGAGUCAGAAAUCUCGUGUGGAUAGUGCCGCUCAUAGCACCAUUAAACGCAAUGGUGCUGCGUUCGCACGAUGAUAUCAUCACUCUCUUUCUCUAAAAGUGAAAUGAAGAAAAACAAAGAAGUUAAGCCACACAAAAAAUUUCGUACCCCUUGAGCUCCAUGAGAAAAUCUCUUCAGCCAAGCAAAACUAUCAUAGGAGGGCCCUUUUAUAGGGCGCUUAUCUGGUUGCCCUAAUUUACACAGCCCGAUCGUCUCGAUAGGGUCAGCGAAUGAAUGAAACGACGCCGUUAAAUAAACGGGUAACUUAAAAUAUCCUGUGUUCGCGUUUUCUUUGGGCGUGCAAACCCAAAUUGAAGCCCAAGACAUAUUUAUACUCAAUUGCUAAAAAGUCCCCGUUUCAGAAAUUAAUAUUGCAAAAGAGCCUCCAAAGUCCAACCUGGUCAAACCCAUUAACCCAGCCUGCCAACAAGUCCCAAUGUGUAAAAUAAAUUUAAUAUCCGGGUAAUCGUGUCAAUUUGGUAAAGGUAGUGGGUAGAAAAGUGCAAAUUUAAUUGUUAUUUAAACGAAUACCAAGUAGGGUUUAGCCUUCCAGCUCUAGAGCACAACGAGUCAGUCGCCGCAGCAGCUCAGGUUCCCUCUCUGCCCUCUCAAUCUAUCUUCUGCAAAUGUUUGGUUACUGAGAAUGUGAAGGAAAAGAAAAAAAAAUGAUUUUCUCGGUAACCAAAUAUCGAUUAAAAACUAUUACAAGAUAUGAUUACGUGUAUGUACAUUUGUAGUUUUCAUAUAUAUUGUUCUCAAACAACUAUGAAACUGUUAGCUUUUAAUAUUGUUCGCUGGAGUUAGCGAUCAGCGUUUGCCUGAUCUGUGGUUCUGUGUUUCGUAUGGCCAUUCAUAAUGUUUAGGCCAUUGUUAUUGCGUGAGUUGAGAUCAUUUUAUUUGGAUAAGAGAUAUUAGGAAAUUAAUAUUUUUGUUAUUGUUAUAUUUGCAGAGGAGGAGAAUGUCUCACAGGAAGUUUGAGCACCCAAGGCAUGGUUCCCUUGGAUUUCUUCCAAGGAAGCGAGCUGCUCGUCACAGAGGAAAGGGUAUGAUGUUGUUUUGUUAUGGCAUUAAGAGCUGACAAUCUUAUUCAUAGAGUUAGUUUUAUUGGAUAUGGUAAUUUGUUUGUCUUGAGUAGUUUUGUUUGCUUCGGUGCUUUUGCAGUGAAGGCUUUUCCCAAGGAUGACCCAAGCAAGCCUUGCAGGCUCACUGCCUUUUUGGGUUACAAGGCUGGGAUGACCCACAUUGUUAGGGAUGUCGAGAAACCUGGAUCUAGUAAGCUUUUGUGAAGCUUUGAUUGAGUUAUUCAUAAUUCCUAGUGACUACAAUUUGGAUGACUAUUUUGUGUUUUUAACAUUCAUUUGGAGAAAAGAGGUUUUGAAAAUUUGACAUUCCUGUACUAUUAAGAUAUAAUAUCACUAAAUGUGAUGUGCAAUGUCAUUCUUCUGGCUUAGCAAACAGAAUAGUAGCAUAUUAUUUGCAAAUUUAAUGAUUUGUGUCUGUUUGAUUGUUGUUUUUUACUAUUAAUUCAUGGUUCUAUCCUGGAUAACAAACUCUUCAGUAUUUCUUUGCAAAUAUUUUGGUUUCAAAAAAUUAAUUCGUUGAUGUAAUUUUUUUUUCCUUUUCGGUAGUGUUAUAUUUAGAUUGUGCAAUGUUUUGUAUCCAAUUCGACUGCAAUUUUGGAGUUCUUAUAGGACUUUAUUAUCCAUGAUCUUGUAAUAUUAGGUGAAGAAUGUUUUUUUUUUGUUGAAAAUUCUUAUCUUAACAAUAUUUGCUUCUUUUCACCUUUAGAGCUUCACAAGAAGGAGACCUGUGAGGCUGUUACCAUUAUUGAAACCCCUCCAAUGAUGGUGGUUGGAGUUGUGGGAUAUGUGAAGACACCUCGUGGUCUUCGCUCUUUGAACACUGUAUGGGCUCAGCAUCUUAGUGAGGAGGUGAGAAGAAGGUUCUACAAGAACUGGUGCAAAUCCAAGAAGAAGGCUUUCACAAAAUACUCAAAGCAGUAUGAAACAGAUGAAGGGAAGAAAAGU
rnacentral:lncRNA from 1 species